GAUGAACGCUAGCUACAGGCUUAACACAUGCAAGUCGAGGGGCAGCAUGGUCUUAGCUUGCUAAGGCUGAUGGCGACCGGCGCACGGGUGAGUAACACGUAUCCAACCUGCCGUCUACUCUUGGCCAGCCUUCUGAAAGGAAGAUUAAUCCAGGAUGGGAUCAUGAGUUCACAUGUCCGCAUGAUUAAAGGUAUUUUCCGGUAGACGAUGGGGAUGCGUUCCAUUAGAUAGUAGGCGGGGUAACGGCCCACCUAGUCAACGAUGGAUAGGGGUUCUUAGAGGAAGGUCCCCCACAUUGGAACUGAGACACGGUCCAAACUCCUACGGGAGGCAGCAGUGAGGAAUAUUGGUCAAUGGGCGAUGGCCUGAACCAGCCAGGUAGCGUGAAGGAUGACUGCCCUAUGGGUUGUAAACUUCUUUUAUAAAGGAAUAAAGUCGGGUAUGCAUACCCGUUUGCAUGUACUUUAUGAAUAAGGAUCGGCUAACUCCGUGCCAGCCGCCGCAGUAA
rnacentral:rRNA from 1 species